rnacentral:rRNA from 1 species
ACAGCAGUAGCCGCGGUAAUGCGUAGGUGGCAAGCGUUGUCCGGAAUUAUUGGGCGUAAAGGGCUCGCAGGCGGUUUCUUAAGUCUGAUGUGAAAGCCCCCGGCUCAACCGGGGAGGGUCAUUGGAAACUGGGAAGCUUGAGUGCAGAAGAGGAGAGUGGAAUUCCACGUGUAGCGGUGAAAUGCAUAGAGAUGUGGAGGAACACCAGUGGCGAAGGCGACUCUCUGGUCUGUAACUGACGCUGAGGAGCGAAAGCGUGGGGAGCGAACAGGAUUAGAUACCCGGGUAGUCCCUGUCUCUUAUAC